UGAGCUGUGAUGGGGAGAAGACAUUGUGUCUUCGAGUCGUUGAUUUCACACUGCCGAGAAAAGCCUCUAGAUAGAAAAUAGGUGCCCGUACCGCAAACCGACACAGGUAGUCAAGAUGAGAAUUCUAAGGUGAGCGAGCGAACUCUCGUUAAGGAACUCGGCAAAAUGACCCCGUAACUUCGGGAGAAGGGGUGCUCUUUAGGGUUAACGCCCAGAAGAGCCGCAGUGAAUAGGCCCAAGCGACUGUUUAUCAAAAACACAGGUCUCUGCUAAACCGUAAGGUGAUGUAUAGGGGCUGACGCCUGCCCGGUGCUGGAAGGUUAAGAGGAGUGGUUAGCUUCUGCGAAGCUACGAAUCGAAGCCCCAGUAAACGGCGGCCGUAACUAUAACGGUCCUAAGGUAGCGAAAUUCCUUGUCGGGUAAGUUCCGACCCGCACGAAAGGCGUAACGAUUUGGGCACUGUCUCAACGAGAGACUCGGUGAAAUCAUAGUACCUGUGAAGAUGCAGGUUACCCGCGACAGGACGGAAAGACCCCGUGGAGCUUUACUGUAGCCUGAUAUUGAAAUUCGGCACAGCUUGUACAGGAUAGGUAGGAGCCUUUGAAACGUGAGCGCUAGCUUACGUGGAGGCGCUGGUGGGAUACUACCCUAGCUGUGUUGGCUUUCUAACCCGCACCACUUAUCGUGGUGGGAGACAGUGUCAGGCGGGCAGUUUGACUGGGGCGGUCGCCUCCUAAAAGGUAACGGAGGCGCUCAAAGGUUCCCUCAGAAUGGUUGGAAAUCAUUCAUAGAGUGUAAAGGCAUAAGGGAGCUUGACUGCGAGACCUACAAGUCGAGCAGGGUCGAAAGACGGACUUAGUGAUCCGGUGGUUCCGCAUGGAAGGGCCAUCGCUCAACGGAUAAAAGCUACCCCGGGGAUAACAGGCUUAUCUCCCCCAAGAGUUCACAUCGACGGGGAGGUUUGGCACCUCGAUGUCGGCUCAUCGCAUCCUGGGGCUGUAGUCGGUCCCAAGGGUUGGGCUGUUCGCCCAUUAAAGCGGUACGCGAGCUGGGUUCAGAACGUCGUGAGACAGUUCGGUCCCUAUCCGUCGUGGGCGUAGGAAAUUUGAGAGGAGCUGUCCUUAGUACGAGAGGACCGGGAUGGACAUACCUCUGGUGUACCAGUUGUCGUGCCAACGGCAUAGCUGGGUAGCUAUGUGUGGACGGGAUAAGUGCUGAAAGCAUCUAAGCAUGAAGCCCCCCUCAAGAUGAGAUUUCCCAACUUCGGUUAUAAGAUCCCUCAAAGAUGAUGAGGUUAAUAGGUUCGAGGUGGAAGCAUGGUGACAUGUGGAGCUGACGAAUACUAA
rnacentral:rRNA from 1 species